CAGCAGCCGCGGUAAUACGAAGGGUGCAAGCGUUACUCGGAAUUACUGGGCGUAAAGCGUGUGUAGGUGGUUGUUUAAGUCUGUCGUGAAAGCCCUGGGCUCAACCUGGGAAUUGCGAUGGAUACUGGGCGACUAGAGUGCGGUAGAGGAUAGUGGAAUUUCCGGUGUAGCAGUGAAAUGCGUAGAGAUCGGAAGGAACAUCUGUGGCGAAGGCGACUAUCUGGGCCAACACUGACACUGAGACACGAAAGCGUGGGGAGCAAACAGGAUUAGAUACCCGCGUAGUCCCUGUCUCUUAUAC
rnacentral:rRNA from 1 species